rnacentral:rRNA from 1 species
UACGUAGGGGGCGAGCGUUGUCCGGAUUUAUUGGGCGUAAAGAGCUCGUAGGCGGUUCGGUAAGUCGGAUGUGAAAUCUCCACGCUCAACGUGGAGGGGCCAUUCGAUACUGCCGUGACUCGAGUCCGGUAGGGGAGUGUGGAAUUCCCGGUGUAGCGGUGAAAUGCGCAGAGAUCGGGAGGAACACCCGUAGCGAAGGCGGCACUCUGGGCCGGUACUGACGCUGAGGAGCGAAAGCGCGGGGAGCGAACAGG